CCAGACUCCUACGGGAGGCAGCAGUGGGGGAUAUUGCACAAUGGGGGAAACCCUGAUGCAGCGACGCCGCGUGGGUGAAGAAGCGCCUCGGCGCGUAAAGCCCUGUCAGCAGGGAAGAAAAUGACGGUACCUGAAGAAGAAGCCCCGGCUAACUACGUGCCAGCAGCCGCGGUAAUACGUAGGGGGCAAGCGUUAUCCGGAUUUACUGGGUGUAAAGGGAGCGUAGACGGCAGUGCAAGUCUGGAGUGAAAGGCGGGGGCUCAACCCCCGGACUGCUCUGGAAACUGUACGGCUGGAGUGCAGGAGAGGUAAGUGGAAUUCCUAGUGUAGCGGUGAAAUGCGUAGAUAUUAGGAGGAACACCAGUGGCGAAGGCGGCUUACUGGACUGUAACUGACGUUGAGGCUCGAAAGCGUGGGGAGCAAACAGGAUUAGAUACCCCUGUA
rnacentral:rRNA from 1 species